GGAAGGAUCAUUACAGAAUGUAACCAUUUUGGUACACUCUUAUUAUCCCUUUGUCUACCCUUCCCUGUUGCUUCCAUGGUGCCAGCCAAUUUUUGGCUCUGGACAGGUACUAAAACCACCUGUUUGGAAGUGCCCAUGGGUGUCCCUCGGUGACAUUUGUACCCGGGGGACUUUUUUUAAAAUCUGAAAUGACGAAAUUGUCUGAAUACAUUUAAAUUUAAAAUAAAACUUUCAACAACGGAUCUCUAGGCUCUUGCAUCGAUGAAGAACGCAGUGAAAUGUGAUGAGUAAUGUGAAUUGCAGAAUCUCGUGAAUCAUUGAAUCUUUGAACGCACAUUGCGCCCUAUGGCUAUUCCGUAGGGCAUGCCUGUCUCAGUGUCAUUUAACACCUCUCAAGCUUCUUUGCUUGGAUUCUUUGGGGUAUGCGGUGAAUAAUCGCAGCCCAGAAAACUAUAGGCAGUAUACUAGUGUAUGGCAGAUAGUAAUAAUAAUUAUCAUCUGUGUAAGCUAGUGGACUUUGCCAGGAAUUGAAUUUAUUUUAUGAAGUUGACCUGAGAUCAGGUAGGGAUACCCGCUGAACUUAAGCAUAUCAAUAAGCGGAGGAAAAGAAACCAACAGGGAUUGCCCUAGUAACGGCGAGUGAAGCGGCAAAAGCUCAGAUUUGAAAUCCGAGGCUCGUUUGGGUCUCUGAGUUGUAAUCUGUAGAGGAGGUCUUUAGAUCAGACAUUGGUCCAAGUCCCUUGGAAGAGGGUGUCAUAGAGGGUGAGAAUCCCGUGCAUGGCCUUUGCUCUGUGUCUUUAUAAGUCCUUCUUCAACGAGUCGAGUUGUUUGGGAAUGCAGCUCUAAAUGGGUGGUAAAUUCCAUCUAAAGCUAAAUAUUGGCAAGAGACCGAUAGCGCACAAGUAGAGUAAUCGAAAGAUGAAAAGAACUCUGGACAGAGAGUUAAAUAGUACGUGAAAUUGUUGAAAGGGAAGCACUUGCCACCAGACUUAGGCACGGGCAGAUCAGGUUUCGGUUUCCGGAGCUGCACUCUGUCUUGCCGUGGUCAGCAUCAGUUUCUGCGGCGGGAAAAAGGUGGGAGGAAUGUAGCUUCUUCUUCGGAAGAAGUGUUAUAGCCUUCUGCUACAACUGCCUGUAGAGACUGAGGAUUGCUCCGUUGGGACGGAUGCUGACUUAAUGGUUGUAAGUGACCCGUCUUGAAACACGGACCAAGGAGUCUAACAUCUAUGCGAGUAUUUGGGUGAUAAAACCCUUAUGCGUAAUGAAAGUGAAUGUAGGUGGGAAUCCGUACGGAUGCACCAUCGACCGAUCCUGAUGUUUUCGGAUGGAUUUGAGUAGGAGCAUAGCUGUUGGGACCCGAAAGAUGGUGAACUAUGCCUGAAUAGGGUGAAGCCAGAGGAAACUCUGGUGGAGGCUCGCAGCGGUUCUGACGUGCAAAUCGAUCGUCAAAUUUGGGUAUAGGGGCGAAAGACUAAUCGAACCAUCUAGUAGCUGGUUCCGGC
rnacentral:misc_RNA from 1 species